GACCGAAGGUGCAACUGAUUGUGACGUGUUCAAGUUUUGGCAAAAGCAGUAGGAGAAUCAUUGGAUGAUCUCGUUUUGAAGAAGGAGGUUGGUACCAGGAUUGACGAAAUUCGUGAUGAAUCAGCUGGACCUGUAUUGAUUUGCAUUGAUAUGGGAAACGAAUCGGCCAUGUAUUACGUGUUUGCGGAGCAAACUCGGCUGUCUGAAGGUACAACAGAUAUCGUUUGUGCUUUUCAAGAUCUGAUGUCGGUACAAUAUGUACAUGGUUUCAUGUACCUCAAGAAAGUCGCCAAAUUUUUGGAGUUCACUCAGGAAUAUUUUCUGAAGAUUUUCCCGGGCAAAGGCUCCAAGUCCAAUGCCAUUAGAAUUGGACAGCAGCAACGAAUGGUGCAAAAAUUAAUCGCGUCUUUGUCUGAAUUUGAAGCCUCAACAUAAGUGGCAAUUAUAUUCCUAAGCUGUUAUUUUAAUAAGUACAAAAUAGCAAACUACUACUCAUAAAUGUAAUAUGAAUUAUUGUUAAAAUAUCAUUCAAAUAA